rnacentral:ncRNA from 1 species
UUCAGUACCUUAUGAGAAAUCAAAGUCUUUGGGUUCUGGGGCGAGUAUUCGCGCAAGCGAGAAAGUUAAAAGAAUUGACGGAAGGGCACCACCAGGCGUGGAGCUUGCGGCUUAAUUUGACUCAACACGGGGAAACUCACUAGUUUAAGACAAGAGUAGGAUUGACAGAUUAAUAGCUCUUUCUUGAUUUCUUGGAUGGUGAUGCAUGGCCGUUUUUAGUUCGUGAAUAUGAUUUGUCUGGUUAAUUCCGAUAACGAACGAGAUCUUAACCUGCUAAUUAGCGGCGAGUACUCUAUAUCCUUUAUUGGGAGAUUGGUUUUGACGUUUAUGUGGGCAUAUUGAUUAAUCAAUUGGUUUACCUUUUGCUCUUUUUCAUUAUGAUUCUUGCGUUUACGACAUGCCUUUUUUCUAGUAAGGAUGUAUUCGCUUUAUUUAAUGCUUCUUAGAGGAACGAUGUGUGUCUAACACAAGGAAGUUUAAGGCAACAACAGGUCUGUGAUGUCCUUAGAUAUACUAGGCUGCACGCGUGCUACACUGAUAUGUAAAACGAGU